UGGGGAAUAUUGCACAAUGGGCGCAAGCCUGAUGCAGCCAUGCCGCGUGUGUGAAGAAGGCCUUCGGGUUGUAAAGCACUUUCAGCGGGGAGGAAGGCGAUAAGGUUAAUAACCUUGUCGAUUGACGUUACCUGCAGAAGAAGCACCGGAUAACUCCGUGCCAGCAGCCGCGGUAAUACGGAGGGUGCAAGCGUUAAUCGGAAUUACUGGGCGUAAAGCGCACGCAGGCGGUCUGUCAAGUCGGAUGUGAAAUCCCCGGGCUCAACCUGGGAACUGCAUUCGAAACUGGCAGGCUAGAGUCUUGUAGAGGGGGGUAGAAUUCCAGGUGUAGCGGUGAAAUGCGUAGAGAGCUGGAAGAAUACCGGUGGCGAAGGCGGCCCCCUGGACAAAGACUGACGCUCAGGUGCGAAAGCGUGGGGAGCAAACAGG
rnacentral:rRNA from 1 species